ACGGCCCAGACUCCUACGGGAGGCAGCAGUAGGGAAUCUUCCGCAAUGGACGAAAGUCUGACGGAGCAACGCCGCGUGAGUGAUGAAGGUUUUCGGAUCGUAAAGCUCUGUUGUUAGGGAAGAACAAGUACCGUUCGAAUAGGGCGGUACCUUGACGGUACCUAACCAGAAAGCCACGGCUAACUACGUGCCAGCAGCCGCGGUAAUACGUAGGUGGCAAGCGUUGUCCGGAAUUAUUGGGCGUAAAGGGCUCGCAGGCGGUUCCUUAAGUCUGAUGUGAAAGCCCCCGGCUCAACCGGGGAGGGUCAUUGGAAACUGGGGAACUUGAGUGCAGAAGAGGAGAGUGGAAUUCCACGUGUAGCGGUGAAAUGCGUAGAGAUGUGGAGGAACACCAGUGGCGAAGGCGACUCUCUGGUCUGUAACUGACGCUGAGGAGCGAAAGCGUGGGGAGCGAACAGGAUUAGAUACCCUGGUAGUCCACGCCGUAAACGAUGAGUGCUAAGUGUUAGGGGGUUUCCGCCCCUUAGUGCUGCAGCUAACGCAUUAAGCACUCCGCCUGGGGAGUACGGUCGCAAGACUGAAACUCAAAGGAAUUGACGGGGGCCCGCACAAGCGGUGGAGCAUGUGGUUUAAUUCGAAGCAACGCGAAGAACCUUACCAGGUCUUGACAUCCUCUGACAAUCCUAGAGAUAGGACGUCCCCUUCGGGGGCAGAGUGACAGGUGGUGCAUGGUUGUCGUCAGCUCGUGUCGUGAGAUGUUGGGUUAAGUCCCGCAACGAGCGCAACCCUUGAUCUUAGUUGCCAGCAUUCAGUUGGGCACUCUAAGGUGACUGCCGGUGACAAACCGGAGGAAGGUGGGGAUGACGUCAAAUCAUCAUGCCCCUUAUGACCUGGGCUACACACGUGCUACAAUGGACAG
rnacentral:rRNA from 1 species